rnacentral:rRNA from 1 species
GAGUUUGAUCUUGGCUCAGAUUGAACGCUGGCGGCAUGCCUUACACAUGCAAGUCGAACGGCAGCACGGGAGCUUGCUCCUGGUGGCGAGUGGCGAACGGGUGAGUAAUGCAUCGGAACGUAUCCUGGAGUGGGGGAUAACGUAGCGAAAGUUACGCUAAUACCGCAUAUUCUGUGAGCGGGAAAGCGGGGGACCUUCGGGCCUCGCGCUCUUGGAGCGGCCGAUGUCGGAUUAGCUAGUUGGUGAGGUAAAGGCUCACCAAGGCGACGAUCCGUAGCAGGUCUGAGAGGAUGAUCUGCCACACUGGAACUGAGACACGGUCCAGACUCCUACGGGGAGGCAGCAGUGGGGAAUUUUGGACAAUGGGGGCAACCCUGAUCCAGCCAUGCCGCGUGAGUGAAGAAGGCC